GACGAACGCUGGCGGCGUGCUUAACACAUGCAAGUCGAACGGAAAGGCCCUUCGGGGUACUCGAGUGGCGAACGGGUGAGUAACACGUGGGUGAUCUGCCCUGCACUUUGGGAUAAGCCUGGGAAACUGGGUCUAAUACCGAAUAGGACCACGCGCUUCAUGGUGUGUGGUGGAAAGCUUUUGCGGUGUGGGAUGGGCCCGCGGCCUAUCAGCUUGUUGGUGGGGUAAUGGCCUACCAAGGCGACGACGGGUAGCCGGCCUGAGAGGGUGACCGGCCACACUGGGACUGAGAUACGGCCCAGACUCCUACGGGAGGCAGCAGUGGGGAAUAUUGCACAAUGGGCGCAAGCCUGAUGCAGCGACGCCGCGUGAGGGAUGACGGCCUUCGGGUUGUAAACCUCUUUCAAUAGGGACGAAGCGUGAGUGACGGUACCUAUAGAAGAAGCACCGGCCAACUACGUGCCAGCAGCCGCGGUAAUACGUAGGGUGCGAGCGUUGUCCGGAAUUACUGGGCGUAAAGAGCUCGUAGGUGGUUUGUCGCGUUGUUCGUGAAAACUCACAGCUUAACUGUGGGCGUGCGGGCGAUACGGGCAGACUAGAGUACUGCAGGGGAGACUGGAAUUCCUGGUGUAGCGGUGGAAUGCGCAGAUAUCAGGAGGAACACCGGUGGCGAAGGCGGGUCUCUGGGCAGUAACUGACGCUGAGGAGCGAAAGCGUGGGGAGCGAACAGGAUUAGAUACCCUGGUAGUCCACGCCGUAAACGGUGGGUACUAGGUGUGGGUUCCUUCCUUGGGAUCCGUGCCGUAGCUAACGCAUUAAGUACCCCGCCUGGGGAGUACGGCCGCAAGGCUAAAACUCAAAGGAAUUGACGGGGGCCCGCACAAGCGGCGGAGCAUGUGGAUUAAUUCGAUGCAACGCGAAGAACCUUACCUGGGUUUGACAUGCACAGGACGCCGGCAGAGAUGUCGGUUCCCUUGCGGCCUGUGUGCAGGUGGUGCAUGGCUGUCGUCAGCUCGUGUCGUGAGAUGUUGGGUUAAGUCCCGCAACGAGCGCAACCCUUGUCCUAUGUUGCCAGCGGGUUAUGCCGGGGACUCGUAGGAGACUGCCGGGGUCAACUCGGAGGAAGGUGGGGAUGACGUCAAGUCAUCAUGCCCCUUAUGUCCAGGGCUUCACACAUGCUACAAUGGCCGGUACAAAGGGCUGCGAUGCCGUGAGGUGGAGCGAAUCCUUUCAAAGCCGGUCUCAGUUCGGAUCGGGGUCUGCAACUCGACCCCGUGAAGUCGGAGUCGCUAGUAAUCGCAGAUCAGCAACGCUGCGGUGAAUACGUUCCCGGGCCU
rnacentral:rRNA from 1 species